rnacentral:rRNA from 1 species
CCUACGGGUGGCAGCAGUCGAGAAUCAUUCACAAUGGGGGAAACCCUGAUGGUGCGACGCCGCGUGGGGGAAUGAAGGUCUUGGGAUUGUAAACUCCUGUAAUGUGGGAGAAAAUUAAAAAGAUAGUACCACAAGCGCAAGAGACGGCUAAGUCGGUGCCAGCAGCAGCGGGAAUACAGAGGUCGUAAGCGUUGUUCGGAAUCACUGGGCGUAAAGCGUGCGUAGGCUGUUGCGUAAGUCGAGUGUGAAAGGCGCGGGCUCAACCCCGGGACGGCACCUGAUACUGUGGGGCUAGAGUAAUGGAGGGGGAACCGGAAUUCUUGGUGUAGCAGUGAAAUGCGUAGAUAUCGGGAGGAACACUCGUGGCGAAGGCGGGUUACUGGACAUUAACUGACGCUGAGGCACGAAGGCCAGGGGAGCGAAAGGGAUUAGAUACCCCGGUAGUC